rnacentral:rRNA from 1 species
CCUACGGGUGGCAGCAGUGAGGAAUAUUGGUCAAUGGACGAGAGUCUGAACCAGCCAAGUAGCGUGAAGGAUGACUGCCCUAUGGGUUGUAAACUUCUUUUAUAUGGGAAUAAAACGUUCCACGUGUGGGAUUUUGUAUGUACCAUAUGAAUAAGUAUCGGCUAACUCCGUGCCAGCAGCCGCGGUAAUACGGAGGCUCCGAGCGUUAUCCGGAUUUAUUGGGUUUAAAGGGAGCGUAGGUGGAUUGUUAAGUCAGUUGUGAAAGUUUGCGGCUCAACCGUAAAAUUGCAGUUGAAACUGGCAGUCUUGAGUACAGUAGAGGUGGGCGGAAUUCGUGGUGUAGCGGUGAAAUGCUUAGAUAGCACGAAGAACUCCGAUUGCGAAGGCAGUUCACUGGACUGCAACUGACACUGAGGCUCGAAAGUGUGGGUAUCAAACAGGAUUAGAUACCCGAGUAGUC